UACAGAGGGUGCAAGCGUUGUUCGGAAUUAUUGGGCGUAAAGCGCGUGUAGGCGGCUUUGCAAGUCGGGUGUGAAAUCCCUCAGCUUAACUGAGGAAGUGCGCCCCGAAACUGCUUUGCUUGAGUGCCGGAGAGGAUGGCGGAAUUCCCCAAGUAGAGGUGAAAAUUCGUAGAUAUGGGGAGGAACACCGGUGGCGAAGGCGGCCAUCUGGACGGUAACUGACGCUGAGACGCGAAAGCGUGGGGAGCAAACAGG
rnacentral:rRNA from 1 species